rnacentral:tRNA from 1 species
GCGAAUGUAGUUCAAUGGUAGAACUUCAGCCUUCCAAGCUGACUAUGCGGGUUCGAUUCCCGUCAUUCGCUCCA